rnacentral:rRNA from 1 species
UACGUAGGGUGCAAGCGUUGUCCGGAAUUAUUGGGCGUAAAGAGCUCGUAGGUGGCGGGUCACGUCGGGUGUGAAAGCCCGGGGCUUAACCCCGGGUCUGCAUUCGAUACGGGCUUGCUAGGGUCCGGCAGGGGAGACUGGAAUUCCUGGUGUAGCGGUGAAAUGCGCAGAUAUCAGGAGGAACACCGGUGGCGAAGGCGGGUCUCUGGGCCGGUACUGACGCUGAGGUGCGAAAGCGUGGGGAGCAAACAGG